rnacentral:rRNA from 1 species
GAAUGGCUGCAGUAUAUUAACUGUACAAAGGUAGCAUAAUAAAUAGUUUUUUAAAUGAAAACUGGGAUGAAAGAAGUGAUGAAAUUUAUACUGUCUUGGAUUAAAUUAUUGAAUUUAGUAAUUAAGUAAAAAUACUUAAAUAAAAGUAUGGGACGAGAAGACCCUAUGGAA